rnacentral:rRNA from 1 species
CCUACGGGAGGCAGCAGUGGGGAAUAUUGGGCAAUGGGCGCAAGCCUGACCCAGCAACGCCGCGUGAAGGAAGAAGGCUUUCGGGUUGUAAACUUCUUUUAAGAGGGAAGAGCAGAAGACGGUACCUCUUGAAUAAGCCACGGCUAACUACGUGCCAGCAGCCGCGGUAAUACGUAGGUGGCAAGCGUUGUCCGGAUUUACUGGGUGUAAAGGGCGUGCAGCCGGGAAGACAAGUCAGAUGUGAAAGCCCGCGGCUCAACCGCGGAACUGCAUGUGAAACUGUUUUUCUUGAGUACCGGAGAGGACAUCGGAAUUCCUUGUGUAGCGGUGAAAUGCGUAGAUAUAAGGAAGAACACCAGUGGCGAAGGCGGAUGACUGGACGGCAACUGACGGUGAGGCGCGAAAGCGUGGGGAGCAAACAGGAUUAGAUACCCCUGUAGUC